UGAAAAAAACAUAAUAGAAAAAUUAUUUCAAAUGAGUUUAUCACAAGUAGUAAUAAAGAUGCUACCUUGAGUAAAAGGUUAGUAAUUGAACAAAAAAGAAAAAUGAUGGAACAAUUUGCCCAACCCAUAUGAUCAGUUGAACCGCCCCUGGAUGCCUCACUGCCACUGGAUGAAAAAUUGGCAUUCGCAUAAUUUCACUUCAUUUUGUAUGAUUAAAGUGGAGGGAGCCAUGGGUUUGAAUAAGUCGUCUACUAAGAGCA
rnacentral:lncRNA from 1 species